GCUACGAUGGCCGAGUGGAUUAGGCGUUGGAUUAAAAAUCCAAUGGGCGUUUCCCCGCGUAGGAUAGAACCCUGUUCGCAGCU